AGGACGAACGCUGGCGGCGUGCUUAACACAUGCAAGUCACGGGGGCCCGUAGCAAUACGGGCAACCGGCGAACGGGUGCGUAACACGUGAGCAAUCUGCCGAUCUCUGGGGGAUAGCCAGCCUAACGGCUGGGUAAUACCGCAUACGCUCGUUGGGGGGAGUCCCCUGAUGAGGAAACCUCUGGGGGAGAUCGAGGAGCUCGCGACCUAUCAGCUAGUUGGGGGGGUAAUGGCCCACCAAGGCGACGACGGGUAGCUGGUCUGAGAGGAUGGCCAGCCACAUUGGGACUGAGAGACGGCCCAGACUCCUACGGGAGGCAGCAGUGGGGAAUCUUGCGCAAUGGCCGAAAGGCUGACGCAGCGACGCCGCGUGGGGGAGGAAGGCCUUCGGGUUGUAAACCCUGUUGCCCGGGACGAAUGCGUACCAUAGGGUGCGUUGACGGUACCGGGUGAGGAGCACCGGCUAACUCCGUGCCAGCAGCCAC
rnacentral:rRNA from 1 species